rnacentral:rRNA from 1 species
CGUCAAGUCCUCAUGGCCUUUAUGCCCAGGGCUACACACGUGCUACAAUGGGUGGUACAAAGAGAUGCAAUCUCGCAAGAGCAAGCAAACCUCAAAAGCCAUCCUCAGUUCGGAUUGGAGUCUGCAACUCGACUCCAUGAAGUCGGAAUCGCUAGUAAUCGCGGAUCAGCACGCCGCGGUGAAUACGGUUCCCGGGCCUU